CGCGGGAUGGAGCAGUUAGGUGGGCUCAUAACCCGAAGGUCGUAGGUUCAAAUCCUGCUCCCGCAA
rnacentral:tRNA from 1 species